UCAGCACAUGGUUACAUUCUUUUGAAGAUGAACCCUGCAAGCAGGCCAAGCAGACCAAACAAGAUGAAACCAUGAGAUUACAUGAAAGUUGAGAUGAUCGAUUGUCUAUUCAUGGACAGAAGAUGGUGGAGUUCACAGAGGAGUAAUUAGCAGAGUAAUCUCAAUCUGGUUAGAGUGAACACCUUUUUUCCAAUUUUUAAUUUUUAUAUGACAAAUCAAACGCUAUAUCUGACUCUAGUGAGAAAGUAGCAUAACGAUAGCACUACUUUGUUAGGAGAUCACUAGCAUUUUGACCUGAUGGGGCAAUACUACUCGGCUACUCCUGUUACCUAUGUGUCCCAAUGUUUGGAUGAUGGAGACCUGAUGACUGAUGUAGACCUGCCAUGUAAAAUAUGAAUUGGGCAAGAAAAAG
rnacentral:lncRNA from 1 species